CUCUCUCUCUCUCUCUCUCUCUCUCUCUGCGCAACAGCUCAAUCUCCCCAUAUCCCGUUCGUUUCUCCACUUAAACCCUUAUUUUUGUUUCUAUAAAUUGAACCCUUCGAGGUAUUCUCACACAACCACAGUUCUCAGAAUCCUCUCUCUCUCUCUCUCUCUCGCUCGCUCGCUCGCUCGCUCGCUGGCUGUGUGUAUGUGUGUGUUAUAUUUAGUUGCCCUCUUCCUCUCUCUCUCUCUUUUUUUUUUUUUUUUAAACUCAAAAAUGAACGCGAAGGUGGUGGUUUCUCUCCGUGACCUUGUGACGUUUUUCAUUCUGGGAGUGCAAGUAAAAGACAAAUCAGCAGUGAACUUCUUUUCGCCCUCUUCCCUGCGGCAAUAUUUGGCUAAUCUUCACAAAAAUUCAAACCUCAAGGGCCGGGCAAGUAAAAACGCCCGUUCAAAGACCAUGACGGAGUAGCAGCAAGCAUCAGGAGAUUAUCCAUGGAGAGGAGUUUGACUGCCCCAACCACCUGAAGUCUGUAUAUUUGUCUAUUCUUUGUGGGCUUUUCGACAUGAUAGAGGAGCAUGACGCUUUUUACUUCCAGGAAAGUCUUUGUGGUUAUAGUGUUUUCUCUGCUCAAAUGAUUUCCCCCUCUUUUUAUUGAGUGAUCAAUUUCAAUCUUUAAAUUCAUAAACCUUGUUUUUCCGAUCUCUCCAAAUCCUAAGAGAAACUUUCAUGAUAAUUUAGUUUGUGAAAAAAGGGCUGUUAUAAAGUAAAUAAAACAUAUGAGACCAAUUUGGAUACUCAAAUAGAUGGACGAUAGGUGCAUGCCAGUACUUUUAAGGAACUAUGAUUUAUAGGCCAAACAGAAUGUAUACUAUAAAUAGGCUAGGCUCUCUCUGCUAUCCGUAUAUUGAAACACAUCAGUUUAUCUAUCGAUACCAUCUAGAAAGGAGAAGUUGAGGAAGACUGAGUCCCGAAUUUGUGCGGUUUUCUCCAUGCUGGCCAAUACAAUGACGAUGAUCAGUUAGAUAAGGUAUGUAUUGUGGAUUCUUAUCUAAGUACUCUAAAUACUAUUUAAGAGUAUUGGAUCAAUGAUUUUUCAACUUGUGGUAUCAAAGUAUAUGCAUGUACAUUCAGAAUCCUAGUCGAUGCUUAAUCUAGAAGGAAAUCUAUGAACUGUGUCUAGAGUUGAUGGCUUAUAAGUGGUGGAAUAUGAUGUUUCAAAGUUGUGCAAAUUCGAAAUUGAUGUGAGGUUAAUGUUUUCCAUGUCAUUAUGGUGAUAUUCUGCGAGCUUCAUGCAAUAAUUUGACCUAUUUGGUGAGGAAAUUCGACAUAAAAGUGUGCAAUCAGAAUAUGUGAAUCAAAAGGGUGUUCUGGAAUCUACAUUUUUUCACAGAACUGAUGUGGCAUUUUCAUUACUCAUAGUGUGAUGAUCGUUGUGUUUCAUGCCCAGAUUCAUUUUGUGUUUCAAGAACUUUUAGGUUGAAAUUUUUCGAUUAGUAUCAAAGAAUUGAAAUGGGCAUUAUGCAACUUGACCAUCAUGUGUGUUAUCGCAUCCAAUUGAUUUUGGCGGUUCUGGUUUAUAAGUAAUGUCGAUUCUAUCCUGUAAAUUUUGUGCCAUUUCCUCAUCUGUGUGAACAUAAUUUCAAGAUGGACGUUUUCGGAGUUUACAACACGACCAAAUUGACAAUAUUAGCAUUAGAAGUAGAUAUAUAUUUACAUAUAUCUUGAAAUUAAUAUGAUCAUGUUUCCCACUCUUACUUCGGUGGAUUGGAUGCCUCCAUUUUGCACGAUAGUUUGUUUUGUUAAGAAAAUCUCUUAUAUUGUUUUAAAUAUAACAGAACAAUUAAAAAACUACUAACUCAUGCAUGGUUUUAUAGAAUCAGCUAGUCAAUGCACAAGUCAAUAUGCAGAUAGAGUACUGAUGAGAUCGUCCAAAGGUCGGUAGAGCUCCAACUCUUUUGUGGGUGAACAAGUGGACAUAGAAGGUAUUUAAAGUUGGAUUGACAUGGGGAGAAGGUGAACAAGUACAAUGAAGAUAUCACUGAAGCUUAGAUGGACCAAUAGAAGGUUAACAACUGAGUAGAAUCAGGAGAUGUCUAUACGGUUAGAAGGAUUAGCUAGUAGAAUGUGAAUAGCAAGUUUCAUCGUGAAGAGUGAAUAGGUUGGGGGGAUAGAGAGCAAAAGCAUCUCUGCUAUGGAAGGCUGUGAUGUGUUUACGUACCUGUAUAAGAGGACCUAGACUUCUUUCCAAUUUGAUUCGACUUCAAAUUGAUGCCUAGCAAUUACUUUCAGGAUCAAGAAUUCUCAGAGAGUGGACUGGAGAAGAUUAGAAGCAACAGAGAUGGUAGAUCGUGCAGAAACAGAAUUGACUUCGUUUGGGAACUGCCACUGCCAAACAGCAGGGAGACGUUUUAUUUUUGUAGGUUCUUGCAGAUGGCAGACGGUCGUUUGAGGUCUAAUGGCUAGAAACUCAAUGCAAGGGAAGCAAUAGGGGGACGAACAAAAUUCAUUCUAAUGCUCCAAGUAUUCGUCUUUCUUUUGUUCUUGUUUGUAGAAGCAGUAUAUUUCUAAUUGUAUUUUCGGUAAGGUUGCUUCAGUUUGUAAUUAGAGAAAAAAAAAGGUUCUAUCGUAUGAGAGGUGCUCGUACUUAUGGAGCUAUCUACUAAACUACAUCUAGAAACAUCACUCCUUGCGAACUAUAACAUCUGUGAGAUUACUAGUGAUUCCAACUUUAUUUAUGAUUGUUAGUAUGGAGAGUGAAUAUAUGCCAAAGUACAUGGCCUAACCACAA